rnacentral:rRNA from 1 species
UACACACUGCCCGUCACGCCACGAAAGUUGUCUGUACCCGAAAUUAUCUUAGCUAACCUGUUAAAGGAGGCGGAUACUGAAGGUAUGGGGAAUGAUUGGGGUG